rnacentral:rRNA from 1 species
GACAGAGGGUGCAAACGUUGCUCGGAAUCACUGGGCGUAAAGGGCGUGUAGGCGGGAAUGUAAGUCGGGCGUGAAAGCCCCCGGCUCAACUGGGGAGGGUCACGCGAUACUGCUCGACUCGAAGGCAGGAGAGGGAAGUGGAAUUCCCGGUGUAGUGGUGAAAUGCGUAGAUAUCGGGAGGAACACCAGUGGCGAAGGCGACUUCCUGGCCUGUUCUUGACGCUGAGGCGCGAAAGCUAGGGUAGCAAACGGG